GGCGGCGUGCCUAAUACAUGCAAGUCGAGCGAGCUUGCCUAGAUGAAUUUGGUGCUUGCACCAAAUGAAACUAGAUACAAGCGAGCGGCGGACGGGUGAGUAACACGUGGGUAACCUGCCCAAGAGACUGGGAUAACACCUGGAAACAGAUGCUAAUACCGGAUAACAACACUAGACGCAUGUCUAGAGUUUAAAAGAUGGUUCUGCUAUCACUCUUGGAUGGACCUGCGGUGCAUUAGCUAGUUGGUAAGGUAACGGCUUACCAAGGCAAUGAUGCAUAGCCGAGUUGAGAGACUGAUCGGCCACAUUGGGACUGAGACACGGCCCAAACUCCUACGGGAGGCAGCAGUAGGGAAUCUUCCACAAUGGACGCAAGUCUGAUGGAGCAACGCCGCGUGAGUGAAGAAGGGUUUCGGCUCGUAAAGCUCUGUUGGUAGUGAAGAAAGAUAGAGGUAGUAAACUGGCC
rnacentral:rRNA from 1 species